CUUCAGCGCGGGGUAGAGCAGUUUGGUAGCUCGCAAGGCUCAUAACCUUGAGGUCACGGGUUCAAAUCCUGUCU
rnacentral:tRNA from 1 species